rnacentral:rRNA from 1 species
GUCCUUAGUUACCAGCACGUUAUGGUGGGCACUCUAAGGAGACUGCCGGUGACAAACCGGAGGAAGGUGGGGAUGACGUCAAGUCAUCAUGGCCCUUACGGCCUGGGCUACACACGUGCUACAAUGGUCGGUACAAAGGGGUUGCCAAGCCGCGAGGUGGAGCUAAUCCCAUAAAACCGAUCGUAGUCCGGAUCGCAGUCUGCAACUCGACUGCGUGAAGUCGGAAUCGCUAGUAAUCGUGAAUCAGAAUGUCACGGUGAAUACGUUCCCGGGCCUU